ensembl:rRNA 5S_rRNA 5S ribosomal RNA
AAUGACAGUCAUAUCACCCUGCAGCCCAGUAUUACAGUUUCGGUUACUCACUGAAGCUGAGCAGGGCUGAGCCUGGUCAGUAUCUAGAUGGGAGAAUACAUGGGAAAACUAGGUUGCUGUUGAAA